rnacentral:lncRNA from 1 species
AAUCUUUCUAAAGAAAUAUUCACACAUGUGCACAGAGCUGUGUGUACAAUAAUGAGAGGAACAAACAACUGGGGAAUGUUUGCAAAGGUUUGUUAACUGUCAGUGACUGAUAGAGGGGAAUCGGAUGAGGGGAGUACAUGCUGAACAGGAAACAGAGUGAGGGGGGCUUGACCAGGAUGCACGGCAAUGGGAAAAGCAGAUGGGAGAUGCUUAUAAUGGUACUUGGUGUGUGUGUGUGUGUGUGUGUGUUGUGUGGUGUGUAAAUGCAGAGGAAGAAGUCUGAAAUUAAACACUCAGGACUGCCCUCAGUAGUCACAUCUGGGGAGAGAUGAGGAUAGUGCUGUUCUAUGCAGAGAAUACAUGACAAUACUUGUUUUCUGACGUAGGUGCAUGGAUACACAAACCGAAAUAUGCAUUAAGUAUGUCUUGCUCAUCAUUGAAAAGGAUAGUAUCUAACAGAAUGGCACAGUGUAAGAAAAUACAAUGGAAACACUAACAUCGAACUCUUGGCACACUAAGAAAAAUGACGCUCAACUUUUCACUGUUGUGAACACUUGCUUUCACUUGCUAUGCACCUGAUGACGAG